GUGGAUGUAGUUCAGUUGGUUAGAAUGCUGGAUUGUGAUUCCGGAGGUCGUGGGUUCGAAUCCCAUCAUCCACC
rnacentral:tRNA from 1 species